ACCAUUUAUAUAUAUAUAUAUAUAAAUAUAAAGUUGGGUUUGAUCUAUUUUCAUUGCGCCACGUUAUCAUGGAGAGAGGGGCAAAUCUCAACACGUGGCAUCCUUAAAAAAUCGCAAAGCUCGCUUUAUUUACGUUCGCCGAAAUCGCUGGUUCUUUGUGUUUGGUGGGUUUUUAUUUGAUCCUCAAAUUUUUAUGGGCUUUAAGCAAAUUAGGUUUAGUCAUCUUCUUCCUUCGAUAUUCUCUGUCUCGCAGCCGUAAGUUCUAUGGAACUUAAUACCGAUUAGCUAACCCUUACGUCUUCAGUUUGCAUUAAAAUGUACUUUAUUCCUAGCUUUUACGUGGUUAACCCACUCAUGAAGCAUUCAAUCGACUCAUCGAUUUCCAAAGUAACCAACUAAAGCAACGAGUAUAAAUACACCAACUUCCAGCGAUGAACAGCAUAACUACAACAAGCUCUACAAGGAUAGUUUGUUCAGCUUACCAAUUACGACAACGGCGAAUUCCUACAUCCUUGGGAGCUGCUCCAACACGUUGAGACCAUGGAAAGAACAUGGGAAAAGAUCCAAUUUUAUUCAUCUUUUUACUCAACGCCGAUUUGUUUGGUGGUAGAGGAGGACAUCUACUCUUCUUUGCUGUUUAAAAUCAAUCUAGAUCUGAACCUCUCCAGCGUAUCCUAGCAGAUUCCGAAGACUUUAAAAUCACAUCAGAGCCUGAGGUUGCGAUUACACCAAGUUUGCAGCUUCAGAUGAUCAUUGUCUCCGUUCUUUAAACAUGGGAUGACAGAGUAUGUCAUCGGAGAUUUCAUCAAUAUAUUUGGAAGCGUAGCUAUUAAUUUUGGCACAAACCUUCUCAAAUUGAGACCUAAUCAAAGAGAGAGAGGUUAGCUUUACAGAAUAAUGGUGGAGGAGAAACGCAAUUGAUGCCGCAUAUACAGUUUCAGACAUGGAUAGUUAAUAGCAACUGUUGAUAAGAUUAAAAGGUCAAGAAAAAAAAGUAUAGGUGUCAUUCCUCCACUCCAAUGUUUUAGUAAUUAUCUUCCGAUCAGGCUCUGUUUUCUUAAAUUAUUUUUUACUUUCAUUCUGCAGGAUGAGAACAAGUGAGGAACCGCCAGUAUGUGUGACAUGCUUUUCAUAGCAACGUCGCACUCCUUGCCAAAUUCAUCUUCUCUCUUGACCUGAGCUAAGGUUCAUAAAUCAAAUGAAAAAUAUGAAGGUAGCUACUUGACUCCAUGUUCAAGUAAUGGUGGAUAAGUAUGAAGUCAGCUGUGAUGGUAUGAAAGGAUACUUGACUCCAUGGGCCUAUAUUCAGGUCUCCAGUGAAGGGUAUGGAGGGCAUCUUGACCAACCAACUCAUGUGAGAUCACGGACCUAGAUCAGAGGUUUUUCUAACUUUUAACUCCUCAGCUUCCCCGCCCGUCACACUAUGGGAGUUGGCCAUGCGAAUCUUUCUCAGUCUCUCUCGCUCUUCUUCUUCUCCUAUGAUUAUUGUUUCCAGUCUUCACAACAUUUUUUAACUGCGGCACUAAAAGGGUUUUACUUAAACCAAACUUUGUAUAUAAGUCUUAAUAUUCUAUUCAUAUACCAAA